UACGUAGGGGGCGAGCGUUGUCCGGAAUUAUUGGGCGUAAAGAGCUCGUAGGCGGCUUGUCGCGUCGACUGUGAAAAACCACGACUCAACCGUGGGACUGCAGUCGAUACGGGCAGGCUAGAGUUCGGUAGGGGAGACUGGAAUUCCUGGUGUAGCGGUGAAAUGCGCAGAUAUCAGGAGGAACACCGGUGGCGAAGGCGGGUCUCUGGGCCGAUACUGACGCUGAGGAGCGAAAGCAUGGGUAGCGAACAGG
rnacentral:rRNA from 1 species